rnacentral:misc_RNA from 1 species
GAUGAAGAACGUAGCGAAAUGCGAUAAGUAAUGUGAAUUGCAGAAUUCAGUGAAUCAUCGAAUCUUUGAACGCACAUUGCGCCCCUUGGUAUUCCGAGGGGCAUGCCUGUUCGAGCGUCAUUAUAACCCCUCAAGCUCGGCUUGGUGUUGGGGCCUGCCGCACGGGCAGCCCUUUAAAUCAGUGGCGGUGCCAUCUGGCUCUAAGCGUAGUAAUUCUUCUCGCUAUAGAGUCCCGGUGGAUGCUUGCCAUUAACCCCCAAUUUCAAUGGUUGACCUCGGAUCAGGUAGGGAUACCCGCUGAACUUAAGCAUAUCAAUAAGCGGAGGA